rnacentral:lncRNA from 1 species
GCAAGGCAAAAUAAUUUAGGCCAUAUCAGCCAUGUCAUUCUAAAUUUUAAAAUAUUUAGUCUUUCUUCAAGAUAGAUAGGAACAAUUGAAUUUAAGCAACCAAGAAAAAUAAACAUACAACUCCUUGAAAAUGUACAAAUAACUAGACAGUUUUAGAAAAAUGUUAUCAGAAAAAUGUCUUUGCUACUAACAAGCUCUAAAUUAAACAGUGGCCAUAGAUUAUGUUUGUAUCUGUGUAAUGGUAGCACUGCCAGGGAACUUAGCAGUCUGGAGGUAGAUGAAGCUUAGCAUUUGCAGGCAUUUUGGAGCUUCAGAUGGAGGAAUCCCAGCUGUCUGCUAACAGAAACCUGAGACAGGGUUCCUAUGUUGGCCACGCUGGUCUCAAACUCCUGACCUCAGACGAUCCACCCCACCUCGGCUUGCCAAGUGCUGCGAUGACAGGUGUGAGCCACCAUGUUGCGCCCAUUUCUCUAAUAUCUUAUGCAACGGUGUAAGUCAAGCAAGUAUUGAAGAACAUCUAUAUGUUCCAAAUUUGUCUAUUUGUAGCCACUCCUAUUUAAAAUGGCUAGUCGGGCCCAAGGUCAGAGAAACAAUUAUUAUUCUUUCCAAAAUGUAGGCAAUGUCAAUAUACUCUGAACAAUAAGUAAUAAUAGUAAUACAGAUUUCAAAUUUAAUAUUCUCUGAACUAAGCAAAAUAGACAAUUUGACCAUGCCUGUCAGGGUCUGGGAAGGAAAAUGCCCUAUACAUCCAUUGUGUCAUCUUGUCUUCUUUUUUCUUUUCUUUUCUUUUUUUGAGAUGGAGUCUUGCUGUCGCCCAGGCUAGAGUGCAGUGGCUCAAUCUCAGCUCACUAUGCCCUCCUCCCAGAUCCAAGCGAUUCUUCUGCCUCAGCCUUCUGAGUAGCUGGGACUACAGGCAUGCACCACCACACUGGCUAAUUUUUUUGUAUUUUUAAUAGAGAUGGGGUUUCACCAAAUUGGCCAGGCUGAUCUUGAAUUCCUGACCUCAUGGUUCAUCCGCCUCGGCCUUCCGAAGUGCUGGGAUUACAGGUGUGAGCCACCGCACCUGGCCUUUGUCUUGC